rnacentral:lncRNA from 1 species
GCUCCUAGUUUUACUAGUCUCAGGCUCUCGAAUCACAGAGUUCGGGCCAUUGUUUCAAUUUAUCCACCAUUUUUGUUCAGUUUCUGCUGUAAGGUCCUCUGCAAUUGAUCAGGAAUUAAAACAUUUUAGUAGGUGUACAUUAAUUCUCAAGAAAAAAUUUUGUUUUUUCGAAUUUUCUCAUUUGGCCUCAUGUCAUGCUCAAAUGCCAGAGUUAAAGAGGAAAAGAUUAGCAAUUCAAGCAAGAUCUCUAUCAAGUAUCAAGUUGUUAUGCAAGUGGAAUUGUGGUACUGAUGAUUUGUUUUAACGUAUUGAGACCUUUUGAUUUCCAAAAGAGGUGCAAUAUAUUAGAAUAUGCAACUGUCCAGCACUCUAGCUAGCUAGCACUUGCAACGAUUUAGAUUUCAAUAAUUGGGAGCUAUUUCCAAAAGUGUAAGAAACAUUAAAUUAUGAAAAAUGUUUGGUGUACUUAAUCGUGUACAAAAACAUGUAAAUAAUGAUAUCAUUGACAUGUGAUGGGUUUUAAGUGGAAUGAGCCCUCUGCAUUUACAUCAACAACCCCAAUUAAAAUCCACCACAUCACUUGGCAAUGGCAUUAUGUACAAAAAUUCUAUACAUAAUUAUAUGCACCUAGUACUAUUCUUAAAUUAUUAUCGAGUAUAAUCUUUUGAAAGUAUGUGGAAAAAAUAGAGUUACUUAUAAAUGAAGAGGAAAAAAUAUCACGUUCUUAAUUGUAGAAAAUAUCACUAUAUCAAGGGAUCAAUGUUUAGGAUAAAAAUAGAAAAUCUUUUGAAAUUAGAAACAGUUGAACUUAGAUUAAGUAAUAAUUAAUAAAAUAAUAUUCUCAUUAAAUUAAUUUUUUUUGCCUUGACAUAAAAAAAUAAUAUACUUUUAUUAUCGAUAAAGCAAUAUUUUUCACUGAUCUUAAUGUUAUUAUUCUAAAGAAGUUUAAUUUAACUCAUGCGUCAAUCAGCAAGGAGGAACCUGCAGGGGAAAGGAUCAACAUCCAAAAAAACCAGCCAAAUUCCUGGUUAAUCUAGGAAAAUCUAUUAGAAAAUUAUUUCAUGAAAUAGCAUCGUGAUGAUAAUUAUCAUGGAAUCCUGAUUCCAUCACUGCGAAUAGCCGUGCCAGAUACAUGUCUACUUAUGUUACAAAUCAUGUGUGUGCAUGUAUUUAGCUGCAUAUACACAAACACAUCACACCUAAAAACACCUUAAUGCUUGGCCAAAAAAAAGAAGGAAAAAAAAAAAAAACCUUAAUGAAUGAGUUGCAAGUUUAGGAACACAUGCAAUCUAAGCAGAAACAGAUUCUCUUACGUGCAAAAAAGNGAAGGAAAAAAAAAAAAAACCUUAAUGAAUGAGUUGCAAGUUUAGGAACACAUGCAAUCUAAGCAGAAACAGAUUCUCUUACGUGCAAAAAAGACCUAAACUACAAAAGGCAAGCCUCGAUUUUCUCCACACGAUUCGGUUCCAUUUCCUACCUCAAAAAAUCUACUCGGUUUCCCCAUUUCUUUCUCUCCUUUUUCUUUUCACUGCUUUAAUUAUCUCCUUUUUCUUUUCACUAACUCUCAUCAAAAGCAGUGAAAAGUUAAAACACAGGUCGUAGGGUUUCAACUUAGGCUAGGAGAUUCUGACUUAAAGUCUGUUCAAAUGAUAAGAUCAUGAUUUCUUGUAAGAUGAAUCAGCCAAAUUUACGUAGCUUUUUAUAAAGUGUUUUGUGUGCUUAUAUGAUGUAUUUUCAUGCAUAAAGUAUCUGAUACCUUGGAUGUUUCAUGUCUCCUGCUCAUGCAUGGACGUGCUUUUGCCCAGAUUUUGAGGUUUUUCAGUUAAAGCUUCCUCCAAAGAUUGUGCAUCACUCCUUUUACCACCAUUCUGGUAUCUACAAUCUUGAUCCACUUGUUCGUUGGAUAUGUUUGAAUCUUGAAAAGCAGAACCAAAUUUCAACUCGUAAUGCCAUGGGUUCGAAUUUUAUGUGGUGGGUGUGGGGGGGGAUUCCCGAAAAAUACAAGUAGAAAUUAUUUUCAAAAAUAAGGUCUGAACCGGUUUGCAACUGAAUUAUAAGAGGGGUUACAAUCUUAUUUGCAACUUUGCGUGUAUUUUUGUAAAUAGUUUUGAAAAUGGAUAUUUGUAGAAUUUCCAAUUUAGGGUUUUUUUCUAUUAUUUAAUGAAUUUUCUAAAAUUUUAAAACAUUAAGCAAAUAUUCAACUAAACUUUGUUUGAAAUAGCUAGGUAAAUAUUUUAACACACACGCACAUUGAUUGGGUAAUUUUAGUCUUUUCCUCUAAAAAUUCAAUUUAUAAUUAAAAUUUAUGUACUAACAUUUUAUUUUUAAAAAUAAUUGACGAAACUAUUUAACAAAUUUACCUUCAAAUAUGUGACCAAAAUUAAAAUCACAUUCCUCCCUACUAUUUUACAUUUUUACUAUCUUCUUACAUCUCUAACAUAAUAUAUGACAAUUUGACUUUUGACACAUUAUUUUAGAUGUUUUGAUAGUAUAGCUCACAUAAGAUAUAAAUAAAUAUAAUAAAUUUUAUCAUACGGUUAAAAUAUUUAAAAUUUAUGUUAAAAGUAAACUGUUUGGAACUUAAAAGCCUUUUCUUUUAUGAUUAGGGAAAAUAAUUUUCAAAGGACUUUACAGUUGUAGAUGAAUGUAUAUAAUAUUAAUGGCUUUUUUCGUUUAUUAUAAUUAUAAUGUGCUCUUAUCUAGCUGGAUCAUAUAUAAACUCAUAAAUUGCAACUUUAAAGUGAUUGACAAUGGUCCCAAGUCCCAACUCCCAAUUUCAACCUAGCUUUUCAACUUUAAGCAUAGAUUAGUUUUUUUAGUUCAUCUGUUCAUUCGGAGCCCGAAGUCUUUCUCAUGAUACGCAAUUCAUUUAUUUUUAAGCGUCUCGAUCUCAUAUAAUUAUUUGUUAGAUUAAAAGCCUCUGUUCUAAAAGUCCGUGAUUAAUCACGAUUAAUCAUCGAUUAAUCCUUAUUCCGUAACUCGUCGAAUUGAUUAAAUCACCGAUUAAUCACCGAUUAAUCACCGAUCAAUUCAAUUAAUCCCUGAUUGAUCCUUGUUCCGUAACUUCACCGAUUAAGUCCGAUUCCCAUUUUUUACAACACCACUUUUUACAACACUACUAGUAUAUAUUAAAAAGUGUUUGGGGAUGAU